GAACGCUGGCGGCAGGCUUAACACAUGCAAGUCGAACGCGUGUAGCAAUACACGAGUGGCGCACGGGUGAGUAACGCGUGGAUAUCUGCCUUUUGGUUCGGAAUAACCCCGGGAAACUGGGGAUAAUACCGGAUGGUUCCUACGGGAUAAAGAUUUAUCGCCAAAAGAGUGAGUCCGCGUACGAUUAGCUAGUUGGUGAGGUAAUGGCUCACCAAGGCGACGAUCGUUAGCUGGUCGAGAGGACGAUCAGCCACACUGGGACUGAGACACGGCCCAGACUCCUACGGGAGGCAGCAGUGGGGAAUAUUGGACAAUGGGGGCAACCCUGAUCCAGCCAUGCCGCGUGAGUGAUGAAGG
rnacentral:rRNA from 1 species